AGAGUUUGAUCAUGGCUCAGGAUGAACGCUAGCGGCAGGCUUAAUACAUGCAAGUCGUGGGGCAGCGCAGUGUAGCAAUACAUGGGCGGCGACCGGCAAACGGGUGCGGAACACGUACGCAACCUUCCUUUAAGUGGGGAAUAGCCCAGGGAAACUUGGAUUAAUACCCCGUAUCAUUAUGAAGUGGCAUCACUUCAUAA
rnacentral:rRNA from 1 species